rnacentral:rRNA from 1 species
UACGAAGGGGGCUAGCGUUGCUCGGAAUCACUGGGCGUAAAGCGCACGUAGGCGGCUUACUAAGUCAGGGGUGAAAUCCUGGAGCUCAACUCCAGAACUGCCUUUGAUACUGGUGAGCUUGAGUCCGGAAGAGGUGAGUGGAACUGCGAGUGUAGAGGUGAAAUUCGUAGAUAUUCGCAAGAACACCAGUGGCGAAGGCGGACUCACUGGUCCGGUACUGACGCUGAGGUGCGAAAGCGUGGGGAGCAAACGGGG